AUGGCUGUCCCCUCCGGUGACUUGGGAGAAACUAAACUGGCCUCCUCACCACCCGCACCAGAAACCCCCUUUCGGGUUCUUCCCAGCGGGCUGACUCUGCCUGGCGCCCAGGAGCGCCUCGGGCAUCUCUCAGCGUCUCAGCCCAGGUCUCGCGCGCAGCGCCCCUACCAGGUUCACCGGGUGCACGUAGCCGUUCUCGUAGCGAUCCUCCUGAAGCAACUGCCGCAGAACUUGGAGCUAAGCCGCAGAGACAGAUACUAAGGGACCCCAAGUCACCACACUGGUGUUGGUGAGCCGACUCCUGCCCACUCGGAGGGCACAUCCCCGUGGGAAAAAGCACCAUAAUGCGGGGAGCGCACAUUGCAUCACGUCUCUUCUCGCCGGUCCCUGCCAUCUUGCCUGCACCUCACCAUGUGUAUCCAACCUCAUCUAAUCCUCCCAGCCCUAGAACACGCGGGGAAUCACUUCCGGUUGGAUUUCCCGCAGCCCUUUGUAACGGGAAACUUCGUCCAGGAUUGGAGAUGG